UACGUAGGGUGCAAGCGUUGUCCGGAAUUAUUGGGCGUAAAGAGCUCGUAGGCGGUCUGUCGCGUCUGCUGUGAAAACUCAGGGCUUAACCCUGAGCUUGCAGUGGGUACGGGCAGACUAGAGUGCGGUAGGGGAGACUGGAAUUCCUGGUGUAGCGGUGGAAUGCGCAGAUAUCAGGAGGAACACCGGUGGCGAAGGCGGGUCUCUGGGCAGUAACUGACGCUGAGGAGCGAAAGCGUGGGGGAUCAAACAGG
rnacentral:rRNA from 1 species